rnacentral:rRNA from 1 species
UACAGAGGUCUCAACCGUUGUUCGGAUUCAUUGGGACGUAAAGGGUGCGUAGGCGGUCGGGUAAGUCGGAUGAUGAAAUCCCAGGGCUCAACCCUGGAACUGCAUUACGAUACUGCCUGGCUAGGGUACUGGAGAGGAGACUGGAAGUUUAACGGUGUAGCAGUGAAAUGCGUAGAUAUCGUAAGGAAGACCAGUGGCGAAGGCGGGUCUCUGGACAGUUCCAUGCGCUGAGGCACGAAGGUCCAGGGGAGCAAACGGG